GAUGAACGCUGGCGGCGUGCCUAAUACAUGCAAGUCGAGCGAACAGAUGAGGAGCUUGCUCCUCUGACGUUAGCGGCGGACGGGUGAGUAACACGUGGAUAACCUACCUAUAAGACUGGGAUAACUUCGGGAAACCGGAGCUAAUACCGGAUAAUAUAUUGAACCGCAUGGUUCAAUAGUGAAAGACGGUUUUGCUGUCACUUAUAGAUGGAUCCGCGCCGCAUUAGCUAGUUGGUAAGGUAACGGCUUACCAAGGCAACGAUGCGUAGCCGACCUGAGAGGGUGGUCGGCCACACUGGAACUUAGACACGGUCCAGACUCCUACGGGAAGCAGCAGGAGGGAAUCUUCCGCAAUGGGCGAAAGCUUGACGGAGCAACGCCGGGGGAGUGAAGAAGGUCUUCGGAUCGUAAAACUCUGUUAUUAGGGAAGAACAAAUGUGUAAGUAACUAUGCACGUCUUGACGGUACCUAAUCAGAAAGCCACGGCUAACUACGUG
rnacentral:rRNA from 1 species